CUUCGUCUGGCAAAACUGAGUAUAAGAGCUUCAGUUCAACUUAAUCGGUCUGCAAUGACACAAACGAAUCGUGCCGAGUCCAAUGGCGCCGUUCAUAGAAUAGUGAUGAAAUAGUCAUAAAAAGUUGAAGUUUUGUAAAGUGAUGCGCGAAUCAGUCGUCUGCUUAACUUCAACUUCCAAAAGCAAAUUUGAUGUAUGGGCGCUGUUUUUCACUCAAAAAUAGUAAAAGUUAGCUGGACCCCAACUGCAAGCGACCUGCUAUGGAUGUGUUUUGUCGCUGAAACGAUUUUAUUGGUAAACGACUAAAGCUCAAGUAUCCAUUUUGACGAGACGUUAACAAAAUACUGCUACUGAGUAUAUUUGAUACGGAUGGUUGAAGUUAUGAAAAUUUUUCAGUAGAUGUUAUGUUUGGCGGAAACCUCAUUAAGCUAGGUUUAAACGUCAUCAGAAACCUCGUUUGUUGCUGUUGCAUGGACUCGUCUUGUAGAUCGACUUGUUAUUGGCAGAUUAGAUCGAGAAAGCCCGCGUGUCAGAAUCGGUGGUCUUAUAUGCGGACUUCAGCGUCAUAUGCAUUAUUUGCUACGCCUCUAACAGCGGCCUCGUCCAGGAUCGCGCCCUCUUCGACACCCAGGUGUCCUGCUAUGAGCCAACGAAAAUAGUAUCAUUGUCAUUACAUAUUUAGUAUUAUCAUUUCAUUAUAACCAUCGUUUGUAUCUUCACAUGGAUUUGUGCUCAGUGUAAGUGCCUUUCUUCAAUUGAGUAUAUGUGCAUCGAUAUAAGUGGAUAACAAUAAUACUGCUAGCAUGUGGCUUCGGUUGGAACUCGGUUGAUUUCUCAGCACUUCUAUGUCGUCACUCCGUCUGUCGUGAAGGGAGCUCGCACUGAAGACGCCCACGCUGAGAAGAACUGUGGUGCGGUACGUCACCACCGAAAUAAGCAACGACAACGAACACUUGUCGACGAUGGCCAAACGGCCACUACGCAGAAUUCGCUGCGCUCUGUUAUAGUUAUCAGAUAACAUUUGUGUUGUUAUAUGGCAAAGCGCCCAGCGACGGAAGCUGUUCGCGAUUUGAUGACGAGGCUAGCGAUCGGUGACGUGAGAACGUAAUAUCUUUAAGCCAAAGAAGAAGACUGAAGAAAUGAAGUACGUCUGAAACUGCUGUACUCCCUAAGCCUUUCUCAAGAGCUAUUUGACAGUAUCGCACUGUCUGUGGAGUGCAGGACAUCGUUUUAGACAGAACGGCGCCUCACAGCGUUUCGCCGAACUUUCCCAUCGGCGAUAUUAAUUUCACCACGACGUGAAAUGAUAGAUCAAAUCGAGGGAGAUUGAUCUAGAGUUUUUUUUUCUAAUCAGCUAGGCAUGGCAUCGUAAAGAGCUACGAAGUGUUUGGGCAUGCAGCGUCUAACGAAAAGGUGAUAGGAAGUUGGUGGGAAACCGACCCAGCGUUUAGUUCGCCUCGCUUACCUCCCAUUGAAAUGCUGCCUGUAUGGAGCGCUGUUCUUACUUAGCAACCCGUUUAUGGCAACAACUUUUAUUUGAAACUCGCGGGAGAACGCUUCCUCCGAGCGCGCCUGAUCCGAGCCCCCCACACCUUAGUUUGUCAUCGGCACUAGCAGAAUAGUUGUCCCUGGCUUUUCAGUAACGAAGUCGGAAGCGCGUGGAUGAAGCCAGGAUACUUGCUCGUCAAACUUAAGCCAGGAACCCUAACCUCAUAUAGGAACCGUUUAAAGUUGCGGGCCUCUUACGCAGUGUUGCGUGUUCCUCAAGCCAUAUUCAUACAUAGAGCGUCAGUUGCAACCAGUAUAGGCAGCGCAGUCUAUCGACCCCACAAACGCUUGCAGUGCAUAACCCCACCAUCUCCACAUUGUGCGAAUAAUAGUCUAAACCUCUACAAGGUAGACGAACGCAUUAAGCCUUUUAGUCUCCUGGCACCCAUCUAAUUUUGUUCCUCUUGGGUGCUACUGUUAUUAUAACCAUGCCACAACAACAUUGCCAGUUGCUAACGGCAUUUGUCGUCACGACCGCCCUAGUGGCAAGUGCCCUGAUACAACCUGCCGGAGCCCAGCGCAACAGCAACCAGGAUCACUUUCGGAGAUGUCCGCAGCAGUGUACGUGCGCCCUUGACAUCAACCAAGGCAAGAAGAUCAGCUGCGAAUCAGGCGGACUUAGUGACGUCCCGUUCCUGCAAAUGGACAGUGACGUUCAGGUGUUCCAUUUUACGGCGCCACCCGAUCUACCUAAUGAGAUUUCACUAGGCCGAUUUUUCGGUCGCUUUUUUGCCCUCGAAGAAAUCCGCAUCACCCAUUCGCGGGUGCCGGCUAUCGGCGAGAACUCAUUUUACCCGCUGCGCAAACUUCAGAUACUCGACCUGUCGCAUAACAACAUCUCGACCCUGAUCGACAAGGACUUCUACGGGCUGCAACAGCUCAAAGUGCUCAAUCUGUCCAGCAACGAUAUAUCGAAAUGUCCUUCAGCACCCUUUCGCCAUCUGCAGUCGUUGACCUCGCUAAUCCUAAGCAACAACCGACUACAGCUGGCGCCUAGGCUGUUCUACCAGCUGAAGAACCUGCAGCGACUAGACCUGUCAGGGAAUCCACUUAACAGCAUCGACCCGGACAUUCUCAAGGAUCUCCGGCCGGUUACGCGCCUAUAUCUAGCUCGCUGCAACCUCAGCUCGUUACAUUCGCUAGUCUAUCAACAGUUACCUAAUCUCGAGCACCUUGAUUUGCGGGACAACAAGCUCACCUAUUUAGCUCCCCACGAGUUUCGUCAUUUGUCGAGGCUUCAGUUUCUUCAUUUGGAUGGUAACAAGCUUACCACCUUAAAGGACUUAACCUUUGACGGACAGGCCCUCGCAUAUCUAGGUUUAUCCCGCAACUCCAUUUCAGCAGUGGAGGCGUGCGCGUUCUGUAAUUCGAGCAUCUCCGAACUGAACCUCUCCCGGAACCGUCUCGAGUCGUCUGCUCGGGACGACCCCCUGCGUGCUCUAUCGCUCUCCAUCGAGAAACUCGACCUGUCCUAUAACCCCACUCUCCGCGGAUCGAUGGUCGCGGAAUUCAUCCGAAAUCUUCAUCGACUUAAUGUGCUCAACCUUGAAGGCAUCGGCCUGUAUGACCUUCCGGCGACGACAUUUUCAUCGGUCACGGGAUUACGCCAGUUAUACCUAAACAAAAAUAGCUUCAGCGAGUUUCGCUAUUCACUCUUUCUCGAGCUAAAAAAACUCGAAGUACUCAAUAUAUCUCAUAAUAAUCUUAAAUUUCUUCGUUCAUCAGUAAUUCGGUCACUAAACGACACGAACACGCGAGUAAUCAUGCAUGAUAACCCCUGGCGAUGUCAAACGUGCUACAUGAAUCAUCUUCUAAACUUCUUGAGUCAAAGACCAAUUGACGAUAAUGUUAAACCGCCAUUGUGCGCCGAUCCCGCCAAUGUUCGGGGUCGUGACUUGUACCACCUGAAGCUGUAUGAACUAGAAGAGUGCAACAAUCCCAUACUUGAACCGAGAAUAUCGGGCACCGAGUCACAGGUCGGGCUUGUCGUCGCUAUCAUCAUUAUCAUGGUCAUCGUCACUAUCAUUAUUGCAACGAUCGUUAUCUAUAGGACGCAGGGAGCUGUCUAUUAUACGCACGAAGAAGACAGAUCGCGCGGCUCGCUGAGCUAUGACAACUUGGGCUGCAAAGAAGGUCUGAACUCAAAGCGGCCCUCAAUCGUUGCCACUAUCGACGAUACGAUUUCACGAAGUUCCUAGCAGUCGCAGCUGAGCUCUGGAAGCAGUAGCGGAUGUCAUCGUGGCAGCAACUAACUUUUAUCCUAUGACGCAUGAUAAUGACAUGAGAUCUUAUAAUACUGACAGCCAGAAUAACAGCAGGAAAAAUACCAGCGAACAAUGGAAACAAUGCGGUUAUAUACCGUGCAACAUAGGUUACUCAAACGACGGGCUAUAAGAAUCAUAUUAAAUACAAUCAUACAAACGACUGAAAUUUUACCAUAGCAGCGACGCUAUAUGAUCGGUCGUACUAAGCAGCGACUUGCGAUGUCUCCGUAUCUGCCGGUGCCAUAGCAACGACCCCUAGAAAUAUUUGUUACUUUGAUGACGGCAUGAGAACCCAUUGCCACAACAACUUGGCAUAAGGCUCAGAAUACGGGAAAAAUGGUUGAUAUCAUUGUUCCCGUACCAGAUAGUCACAUUAUCGUAUCGCCAAACAACCUUAGUCUUAUUAAAGAGGUAAUCGAUUCGUUGCGACGAUGCAUAAUCAUAAUCGCAGAUAAAAGAACGCUUUACAGAAAGCAAGUCAUCGCUAUGAUAACAAUACGAAUCCUUAAACCAGUACGAAGUUAAUACAAUAAUAAACAAUACGGCCUACGUGAAGCGCUGCUUUAAUCGGAUGCGUCACGACGCCUCAAGGAUCGCAUUGUACUGCGCCUGUCAUAUGCUGCUAGCGACUUCCACGAUCUUCACCUUACUCUCCGCUGACCGGCUGGAUAUAGACCCGAACCCCGUUAAAUCGCUCUGUUGAAAUUUGAUUAAGCAUCAAGCUAAUGAGGCUACAGCGCGCUGGGAAUAUUGCAAAAGCCCUCCGUACUACCAUGUUUGAUUAGAAGCUUCUAGCGCCCAUCGUGUUCCCCGUAGAAAUAGUCAAACAAAGGUGCCAUUUUAACGGCAUCUUAGGCGGAAACAUUUCCUUAAUAGCGGACUGGAACCCCUGCAAUCGCAGGCACUGAACUUCGGCAGACCAUCGCCGCCGCCGGUCAGGCUCUGGAGAAAGUAAGGUUGGAGUUUUUCCAGAGCUCAUAUCCCACUACGUGCGGAUAGAUCAAGAGAAAUCUUGAACUAAUCGAUUUUCGUCGUUGAAAAACGACAAAAACGGCGACUAGCGGCGAUAGCACAAGUUGCCUUUCAGAGCAUUCCUCCUGCUAAGCAUAAGAGGGUAUCCGAAUUGAUCUGAACAGAGAGAAUUCUACCAACCCGGAAGCUCUUUGGCCGUAGGGGGUCGAAGAGCCCCGAAUCAUAUUCUCAAAGCAAUCGGCGCCAAAUAUUACUAUUAACUUUGAAAGGAGGUGUAUACACGUGAGCUUCAAGUCUGCCUAUACGAAGAUGGCUGCAAGUACCGAAUCAUUGACGUGUGUAUGACAAUGUACAGUUCAAUGUAUAUUGAUCAACAGGUAGAACUGAAACAGAAGAUUUGUAACUUAAGUCAGUAGAAGAUGUAACAGUAAAUCAGAUUUGCGCAAAAGCCAGUAAAAAAAAAAAACGAGACGUUUCAGGACACAUAUAUAUAUAUAUAUAUAUUAACCUACAUAUUUAAAGAAGGAGAUAGAACGAUGAAAAACAAAUUGAAAGCGGUUCUACAUCAAUACCUUCUGGCUAGUAAUGUUCAUACAGACAUUCCAGGCGCGUUGUGUUGUAUGGAUAAUAAGAAACAUAUAAGUCGUGCCCACAAGUAACUAUACCACUAUGAGAGAGGUACACCGGUGUAGAUGUUGACUAGCUUAAUGCGGUGGGAGGUAAAAACAAAUGCAAUAGCAGAAGUCGUUUUUCGAACACGAGUUCACUACAAUGUGUUACAAUAGAAACAAAUUUCGUCCAGAAAAAAUACAGUUAACAAAGGUUAUCGGAAGGUGCAGAAUAUAUAUAUAUAUCUGGUUAGUCUAUUCUGAUUUAUAUAGUUGCAGUAAUAUUGAGCUCUGCUUUGGUACAGCCUCUGUCAUAUCAGGAAGAUAAGCUUAUAUAUACCCUAUACUUUUGUUGCCAUUACGUGCAAAUUACGUGGUUUGAUUCUGCAUAAUGGCGUCACGCAAUCGAUAAUGGUGCUGACGUAAAAUCUCACUGCCGCUGCUUAAUUAAACACAUAUAUGAUACUCAUGGUGGCCCAUAGGCGGCAAAGGGGAAACGAUUCACAUAGAAAUGCUUCAAAAGCUGUUUGAGGCGAUUCGUUCAUUGGGAUGACGUUACGCGAACAUGACGCGACGUGUCGCCAAGCGGCCCACGGUAAGUGCGCUUCUCACCAAACUAGAGAAACAAUUAACAGUCCUUAAUGAGUAGCAACAGCAGUUAAAAUCAGAGCAUUUAGCUUUGUAUGGCACCUGCGGGAGUUUGUAUCACUGUCCGAAAACCUAUUCCGCAGCAACGGCGAUAAGAUAGAACCCUGCAAAAAAAAUGAUCAUUGUAGUAGGUAGUCAAUAUAAGAUCGACAAAUCAUUGACGUGUAAGUGACCGAUUCGAAAUACGGGUACGUAUCUUCCCGCAGAUGCGUCCAUAAAUAAACCAAGUUGUAGCAUACGUUUUAACUAAUUGUACGAUUAGUACUAUCAACGAUUGUAGCUAUUCGUGGCCGGAUGCGAAUGUUUGAUUGAAGCUAAAAAAAAUUGACGGCCGUAAAUAAUUAGUCGAGUUCUGCGCCGUUACUAAUUCGAUUAUUGGUAGGGGUACUACACUAGUACUCGACUAGUACUAAUAGAAACAACUGAGAAAUCUAUAGAAAACCGAUAGAGGAUGAACACAAACGGAGACAAAUACUGAUUAAAUUGAGUGUUAGCUUAUUUUAUGAAAACCGUAUCAUCGCCGUGGCUCCUGAAUUUAGCGAACGACUGUUUCAUGCUGGACAUUUCAUUGAGCACGGGUUUCGAACAUACCCUGAAGGCAAUUCUACAGGACGCAAGCUUUACUGGAGCUGGCCCUAAACGAAUGUAGCGCGCAUAAUUUCGAAAUGAUUAAUGAAACCAGCAAAAACGGGCCCGAUUGCCACGGCAAACGUAUGAUACAUGACAUGCAUACGAAAAACACAAUUGUACAAUAUAGAUGAUAAUGAAUUGAAGCAUUAUUAUUAUUAUUACUAACACUACUAUUAUGUAAAGGACUGAUGCGGAACGAAAGGACACCAACGAACUGGUAACCCAGAAGGAAUAGCCUAGUGAAUCAAAAUCGUUAUCAGGCAGUUAGAAAGAAAAAACAAAUCACGAAGCACAGAUUGAGAAAGCGAGAAAUGAGAAAUAAGGAAAAAAAACGAUAAUCCUAAGUCGUACUAAGAAAUAAGUUAUGUAAGACAAAAGUUAAAGAACGAACAAGGGCUACAGCAGGUAAUUAAGCAGAGAAAGAUAUUUGAGCUCUUUUAGUUAUUGCACUUAAAAGAUAAUAAUCAAAUAUAAUAAUUUUUUUCAUUUAUAAUUCCUAAUAUAUUUCAAGAAUAAAAAUUAAUUAUACCUAGAAUAAGACCUGAAUUUCCUAGGUAAAUGUACAUGGUUAUGAUUAGAAUUACUAUGGUGCGGGAAUCAGUAUUUUGGACGUAAACGGUGAAUGAAGCGUCCGAAAAGGCGAGAGUAAGGGGACGCUGUGGAAAUCAG